GACGAACGCUGGCGGCGUGCUUAACACAUGCAAGUCGAACGAUGAAGCCAGAGCUUGCUCCGGUGGAUUAGUGGCGAACGGGUGAGUAACACGUGAGCAAUCUGCCCUUGACUCUGGGAUAACUGCGGGAAACUGUAGCUAAUACCGGAUACGACACCUUGGGGCAUCCCAGGGUGUGGAAAGAAUUUCGGUCAAGGAUGAGCUCGCGGCCUAUCAGCUAGUUGGUGAGGUAAUGGCUCACCAAGGCGACGACGGGUAGCCGGCCUGAGAGGGUGACCGGCCACACUGGAACUGAGACACGGUCCAGACGCCUACGGGAGGCAGCAGUGGGGAAUAUUGCACAAUGGGCGAAAGCCUGAUGCAGCAACGCCGCGUGAGGGAUGAAGGCCUUCGGGUUGUAAACCUCUUUUAGCAGGGAAGAAGCGAAAGUGACGGUACCUGCAGAAAAAGCACCGGCUAACUACGUGCCAGCCGCCGCUGUAA
rnacentral:rRNA from 1 species